GGGGUUGUGGCUCAGAGGUAGAGUGCUCGCCUACCAUGCAUGAAGCACUGGGUUCAAUCCCCAGCACCA
rnacentral:tRNA from 1 species